UGUAUAUAUAUAUGUAUGUAUAUGUGUGUGUGUGUACACACACACACACACACACACACACACACACAGAUAUAUG